GACGAACGCUGGCGGCGUGCCUAAUACAUGCAAGUUGAGCGCUGAAGGCUGGUACUUGUACCAACUGGAUGAGCAGCGAACGGGUGAGCAACGCGUGGGGAAUCUGCCUUUGAGCGGGGGACAACAUUUGGAAACGAAUGCUAAUACCGCAUAAAAACUUUAAACACAAGUUUUAAGUUUGAAAGAUGCAAUUGCAUCACUCAAAGAUGAUCCCGCGUUGUAUUAGCUAGUUGGUGAGGUAAAGGCUCACCAAGGCGAUGAUACAUAGCCGACCUGAGAGGGUGAUCGGCCACAUUGGGACUGAGACACGGCCCAAACUCCUACGGGAGGCAGCAGUAGGGAAUCUUCGGCAAUGGACGAAAGUCUGACCGAGCAACGCCGCGUGAGUGAAGAAGGUUUUCGGAUCGUAAAACUCUGUUGGUAGAGAAGAACGUUGGUGAGAGUGGAAAGCUCAUCAAGUGACGGUAACUACCCAGAAAGGGACGGCUAACUACGUG
rnacentral:rRNA from 1 species